rnacentral:misc_RNA from 1 species
GAUGAAGAACGUAGCGAAAUGCGAUAAGUAAUGCGAAUUGCAGAAUUCCGUGAGUCAUCGAAUCUCUGAACGCACAUUGCGCCCUCUGGUAUUCCGGAGGGCAUGCCUGUCUGAGCGUCAUUGUCAACCCUCAAGCUCAGCUUGCUGUUGGGUCCCCGUCGUUGCUUUAACGGCGGACCCGAAAGGUAAUGGCAGAGUCCGUGAGACCCUAGACGCAGCGAGCUUCUAGCACGCGUCUGGACGUUUUUCGGGCUCGGUCUUAACUAGAUGAUAACUUCCGAUUGACCUCAGAUCAGGUAGGGAUACCCGCUGAACUUAAGCAUAUCAAUAAGCGGAGGA